rnacentral:rRNA from 1 species
UACAGAGGGUGCAAGCGUUGUUCGGAAUUACUGGGCGUAAAGGGCUCGUAGGCGGCCAACUAAGUCAGACGUGAAAUCCCUCGGCUUAACCGGGGAACUGCGUCUGAUACUGGUUGGCUUGAGUGUGGGAGAGGGAUGCGGAAUUCCCGGUGUAGUGGUGAAAUGCGUAGAUAUCGGGAGGAACACCAGUGGCGAAGGCGGCAUCCUGGCCAUGUCCUGACGCUCAGGGGCGAAAGCGUGGGGAGCAAACCGG